rnacentral:rRNA from 1 species
UACGAAGGGGGCUAGCGUUGGCUCGGAAUGACUGGGGCGUAAAGGGCGCGUAAGGGCUGGACAUCUUUUGUCGGGCGUGAAAAUUCCAGGGCUUUAACCUUGGGGCUGCGUUUCGAGCGGGGUGUCUUGAGUGGGGAAGAGGGUCGUGGAAUUCCCAGUGUAGAGGUGAAAUGUAGAUAUUGGGAAGAACACCGGUGGCGAAGGCGGUUGCUGGGCCUCACUUGACGACUAUGA